GACGAACGCUGGCGGCGUGCCUAAUGCAUGCAAGUAGAACGCACAGUUUAUACCGUAGCUUGCUACACCAUAGACUGUGAGUUGCGAACGGGUGAGUAACGCGUAGGUAACCUGCCUGGUAGCGGGGGAUAACUAUUGGAAACGAUAGCUAAUACCGCAUAAUAUUGAUUAUUGCAUGAUAAUUGAUUGAAAGAUGCUAUUGCAUCACUACCAGAUGGACCUGCGUUGUAUUAGCUAGUAGGUGAGGUAACGGCUCACCUAGGCGACGAUACAUAGCCGACCUGAGAGGGUGAUCGGCCACACUGGGACUGAGACACGGCCCAGACUCCUACGGGAGGCAGCAGUAGGGAAUCUUCGGCAAUGGACGAAAGUCUGACCGAGCAACGCCGCGUGAGUGAAGAAGGUUUUCGGAUCGUAAAGCUCUGUUGUAAGAGAAGAACGGGUGUGAGAGUGGAAAGUUCACACUGUGACGGUAUCUUACCAGAAAGGGACGGCUAACUACGUG
rnacentral:rRNA from 1 species